GAUUGCUACUGGAGGGAAGAGAAGAAUGGAGUGAACUUCGAUCUGUUUUCCAAAUAUACAUGGGGAGUUCAGCAAGACCCACCGCACACAGUCUAAUGCACAAGUGCAUCAGAUGGAGAAAGCACCAGCAGGUGAGUGGUCCCAGCAGGCUUCAAAGAGGUGGCAAUUUCUCCCCUAGAUCUCGAAGGACAAGUACAGCCUAAGUGACGAAGAGGACAGGGUGAGCACGGCCUUCCAAGGGGCAGGGGGCAAAGGUGAGCACAUCCAAAAGAGAGGACUUGGAGCCAGCAGGCUGGCCCAGCCUGCCCUGCAUAGAUCAGCCUCUUUUUUGCGCUGCUUUAUCCGAUGCAGGUGCUGCUCAUGCUGCCAUACCCACUCUUCCUUUUUCUUCAACAGCAUUAUUAAGGUAUAAUUGAUAUGCAAUAAACUGCACAUAAUUAAAGCGUACAUGUUAAUAAGUUUUGACAUAUAGAGACACUGAAGAAGCCAUCACCACAAUUACCAUAAUGAACUUAUCCAUCAUCCCCAGAAAUUUCCUCCUGCUCCUCCCUGCCAGCCCCCUGCCCCCAUCCUCAGGCAAUCACUGAUCCACUUCAUGUUACUAUAGGUUCAUUUGCAUUUUCUAGAAUUUGGUAUAGAUGGAGUCACGUGGCAUGGACGUUUUUCCUCCUUUCAUUCAGCAUAUUACUUGGCGGUUCACUUACACUGUUGCACAUGCCAUCGCUCGUUCCUUUUCAUUACUGAAAG
rnacentral:lncRNA from 1 species